rnacentral:rRNA from 1 species
GAUGAACGCUGGCGGCGUGCCUAAUACAUGCAAGUCGAGCGAACAGACGAGGAGCUUGCUCCUCUGACGUUAGCGGCGGACGGGUGAGUAACACGUGGAUAACCUACCUAUAAGACUGGGAUAACUUCGGGAAACCAGAGCUAAUACCGGAUAAUAUAUUGAACCGCAUGGUUCAAUAGUUAAAGACGGUUUUGCUGUCACUUAUAGAUGGAUCCGCGCCGCAUUAGCUAGUUGGUAAGGUAACGGCUUACCAAGGCGACGAUGCGUAGCCGACCUGAGAGGGUGAUCGGCCACACUGGAACUGAGACACGGUCCAGACUCCUACGGGAGGCAGCAGUAGGGAAUCUUCCGCAAUGGGCGAAAGCCUGACGGAGCAACGCCGCGUGAGUGAUGAAGGUCUUCGGAUCGUAAAACUCUGUUAUUAGGGAAGAACAAAUGUGUAAGUAACUAUGCACGUCUUGACGGUACCUAAUCAGAAAGCCACGGCUAACUACGUG